UGNGCUUGCAUUUGAUGUUUACAUGCCA
rnacentral:piRNA from 1 species